UUUCGGGGCUCCUUGGUGAUUCAUGAUAACUUAACGAAUCGCAUGGCCUUGCGCCGGCGAUGGUUCAUUCAAAUUUCUGCCCUAUCAACUUUCGAUGGUAGGAUAGUGGCCUACCAUGGUAUCAACGGGUAACGGGGAAUUAGGGUUCUAUUCCGGAGAGGGAGCCUGAGAAACGGCUACCACAUCCAAGGAAGGCAGCAGGCGCGCAAAUUACCCAAUCCCGACACGGGGAGGUAGUGACAAUAAAUACUGAUACAGGGCUCUUUUGGGUCUUGUAAUUGGAAUGAGUACAAUUUAAAUACCUUAACGAGGAACAAUUGGAGGGCAAGUCUGGUGCCAGCAGCCGCGGUAAUUCCAGCUCCAAUAGCGUAUAUUAAAGUUGUUGCAGUUAAAAAGCUCGUAGUUGAACCUUGGGCCUGGCUGGCCGGUCCGCCUCACCGCGUGUACUGGUCCGGCCGGGCCUUUCCUUCUGGGGAACCGCAUGCCCUUCACUGGGUGUGCUGGGGAACCAGGACUUUUACUUUGAAAAAAUUAGAGUGUUCAAAGCAGGCCUUUGCUCGAAUACAUUAGCAUGGAAUAAUAGAAUAGGACGUGCGGUCCUAUUUUGUUGGUUUCUAGGACCGCCGUAAUGAUUAAUAGGGAUAGUCGGGGGCGUCAGUAUUCAAUUGUCAGAGGUGAAAUUCUUGGAUUUAUUGAAGACUAACUACUGCGAAAGCAUUCGCCAAGGAUGUUUUCAUUAAUCAGUGAACGAAAGUUAGGGGAUCGAAGACGAUCAGAUACCGUCGUAGUCUUAACCGUAAACUAUGCCGACUAGGGAUCGGACGAUGUUAUUAUUUUGACUCGUUCGGCACCUUACGAGAAAUCAAAGUC
rnacentral:rRNA from 1 species